UACGUAGGGUGCGAGCGUUAAUCGGAAUUACUGGGCGUAAAGCGUGCGCAGGCGGUUUUGUAAGCCAGAUGUGAAAUCCCCGGGCUUAACCUGGGAAUGGCAUUUGGGACUGCAAAGCUUGAGUGCGGCAGAGGGGACUGGAAUUCCCGGUGUAGCGGUGAAAUGCGUAGAGACCGGGAAGAACACCAGUGGCGAAGGCGGCUACCUGGACAGGUACUGACGCUGAAGCGCGAAAGCUAGGGGAGCAAACAGG
rnacentral:rRNA from 1 species